rnacentral:rRNA from 1 species
CAGAUGUGAAAGACCCGGGGCUCAACCUCGGAAUAGCAUUUGAAACUAGGCAGACUAGAGUACUGUAGAGGGGGGUAGGAAUUUCAGGUGUAGCGGUGAAAUGCGUAGAGAUCUGAAGGAAUACCGGUGGCGAAGGCGGCCCCCUGGACAGAUACUGACACUCAGAUGCGAAAGCGUGGGGAGCAAACAGGAUUAGAUACCCUGGUAG